UUUCCCCAGGUUUAAUUACAUUACAAAUAGUGGUAAUUUAUUGCAAAUAUGCAGUUAUUAUAAUUUACUUGGUCAAUUUAUUUUUGUUUUGAGGAAAAUAAGUGUGUAUAUUGUUCCUGAGGAGGGACUGAUAUAAAUUGACUAAAAAUGAUUUGAGAAUGUUUAAGUAUGUAUCAAACUAUGGAAGGAAAUUAGGAGUAGUGACUUAUGUGUUAUGGGUUAGGAAAAACUGCAACUACAUUAGGGGCUCAUACAUGAAGGUUAUGGUAGCGGAGGGGUGUUAUUCUAAAGUAAAUAGAACAAUACACAUACCUAGAUUAUGGUAAAAGUAACAAGUAGGGGCAUUUUGAACACUAGAGCAAAAGUUUAAGAAACGUAUGACUUAGUUUUGUUAGGAUUGGCUAUUCUUUCAACUGAAAGACACUUGACUGAUUACAUGUUAUUCUUACAGCAGUUGCUGUAGGGACCAUAAUGUGGCUAUCAUUAUGAAUAUUUUUGUGGCAGGAGUCCAGGUAUUUGAGACAGAAUGUUUACAUAGGGCUGUUAUUUAAAAAUUAAGAUUUCGUGAUCUUGCUAUAAGAAGAAAGUUUGUUGUCAGGAAAUAACCCAUGUGUUAGUGUAUGUCCCCAGGAAAAGACAGCACAUAAGAGGCCAGAUGGAAAGGCAUGGGCUGAAUUCUGGAGACUGAGUGUACAUCAAGAUACAUCAGGCUGGGGGUAUACUUCUUACAGCACCUGCAGUGUUAAAGAUCGUCAUGUCUCUCUUUGAUGGGUGCAUAAGUUUCACAAGAAGUAAGGUCCAGCUGAAUAAUGGAAAGAAGGCAGAAACCUGAACCAGGACGAGAGGUUCCAUGUCUGAUGAUCCAAGGGGACCAGAAGGACCUCUCCCAGUGAUACCAGGAGAUCUAGUCUAUGUUCGAGUGUUCCGGAGGAAGUGGGAUCAACCGAGAAGAGAAGGAUUCUACGAGAAGGCCGCAGCAACAAACACGGCUGUCCAAGUGAAAGGAAGCAAGAUGUGGUACCAUGGUACCACCUGAAGCACUGCACUUGAGUCCCAACAGAAAGAAGGACACAACCAUAUAGAGAUGAGGACACGGAGGAUGCUGAUCCACCAGGAAGGAGCCCGGAAGGAGCAGGAACAGCGAAAGCAAUCGAGAUGCCAGGGAGGAGCCAAGAGAACAGCAGACCAAGUGAAAGCCAAAAUACGACAGGUGCAUUGCCUAAUGCACCCAGAAGAAGACGAAGGAGAGACAACACUGAAGAGAGAACCUGCGAAUAACCAGAAUUCACUCCUGUGGGGCCAGAGAGUCCAGGGAUGGGAGGGAGUAACAUGCCUGAUACUCCUAAUGACAUACCUGUUGUGGCAGACCUCUUUGACAGAAGCCUUCCACAGUGGGACCCCGAAGUAUCACCUACAGAAUGGGAACAUCUCUUCCCUAAAAUUGACACCCUUCCAGAUGGAAGCCCAGUCCGGCCUGAGGAGGGAGCCUCAUGGGAAGAAAGAGGAGGAGAGGCCUCACAAGGAACAGAAGGAGAGACUCCACAAAGAGGAGGAAAAGUCCAGCAAGCUGAAGAAAAUGGGGAUUUCCCCACAAUUGACUUUUCAGCUCUUGAAUGGUCUUAACAUUUACUUGAAGUUAGAACCACAGAAGAACAAUGACAUUGACAUAACAGAAGUAACAGUGAACGCUAGUAUAGAAACAACAGACUCACGCACAAUCAAGAUGUAGGGUGGAAACAGGAAGAGAAGAGAGGAACCAGCCAAACAAUCUAGAAAGACUGACAAGGUUAGAAUCUCUGUUCCACCUCAACACAUAACUGAAACAGGAGAACAGAAGACAAAAGGAUCAAGCCUCUACCUGAGAUUGCAUUCUGUGGAUGGACACAUCAUCAAACGAAGGGCAUUUGGGACUCAAAAGGAUGUGACCUGACGUUAACCAAAGACGUGGACGAGUGGGUGCUCACCUUGAAUCAGAUUGAACCAGUUGAAGGUGAAGAAUUAAUAGUUGAAAUAACGAGAAGAUUGACCGAAGGGAGUAGCACCUCAGUCAUUAGAAUUGGUCCUACGCCAAUACCCAAACAGGAAGAGCCUGUGGUAGCUAGAACGACAACAACAGUGGAAGAUGCUGUGAAGACCACAGUAGCUACCACUAAGAUAACAUCAACUGCCCUUACCAAGCAGUCCACUGUACCCACAAAGAAACCUGAAGCAUCAGAACCAGGAGGGUUCUUUACUGACAUUUGGAACUUUUUGACAAACUCUAAUGAUAUACCUCAAGACAAAAACAUUGUAAAAGUGACAUAUAUCUCAGAAUCAGAACAACUCAAGGACACCACACAAGAAGAAGUAGUGAAGAAUGAGUAGUAUGAAUUGGUUAAGUAUACAGCAAACAAACAGGAUGGACAAUUGUAUUUUGUGUAGCAGAUCACCUUUGUCUGAUCUUUUGAUAGUGGCUGAACCUGCAUCAUUUGAAGAAUGUGUUAAAUGUAAAAUGUUCAAUGUAUUCAGAGAAAAUACUACAUUCCUUUGUGUAACAUAGAAUGCAGUUUGGCACUAGGUAACACUAAAGGCAGAAGUGAAUUAAAUAAAGAUAUGCUGGGAGAACAUGAA